rnacentral:rRNA from 1 species
UACGUAGGGGGGCUAGCGUUGUCCGGAUUUAUUGGGCGUAAAGAGCUCGUAGGCGGCUUGGCAAGCCGGGGUGUGAAAAACUCCAGGCUCAACCUGGAGACGCCACCCGGGACUGCUAUGGCUAGAGUCCGGUAGGGGAUCACGGAAUUCCUGGUGUAGCGGUGAAAUGACGCAGAGUAUCAGGAGGAACACCGGUGGCGAAGGCGGGUCUCUGGGGCCGAUACUGACGCUGAGGAGCGAAAGCGUGGGGAGCGAACAGG